GGCCAAAUAAAACCAGAGUUAUGAUAAAUUAUGUCCGUGAUACUUUUUUUCUGCUUAUUUUGAUCACGUUCGGCACUCGAUCGCGCUGUAUGAGACAGGAAAACAUAGCAUGCAGACAUUAGCGACAGGUCUUACAGGCGGAAAAGGCUUGCCAAAAGAAAAAAAAAACACACCACAACAUCUCUCCUAUUGGUGGAAAACUUCACCACAACAACCAAUCCAAAAUUAUAUGGUGACUGAUUGACAAGGGGCGGGUGCUUACGUUCUUCCUGCAACAUGAGAAGCGAGGGAGGGACUCUCAGCAGGGAUGCAGUCUGGGACAUGUAGUUGCAAACCUAGCGACUUUGUUGUUAGAUUCAAUGACUUUUCAGACCCCCUAACGACUUUUUUUUUUAGAAAGAAAGGGACUUUUAUCGACUUCUUCUGGAGUUUAGAGACUCUGACAUGAAGCAGGCUUUCCUUACUGAGGAGUUAGCAACGCUGCUAAGGGUGCAGAGCCACACAUGCGCUCAGAGCUCUGCAUGGGAGACUGAAGCUGACAGAGCUGCAGCAGUUAGCAGGUUUCACCCUCAGAGACCACCAGGGGUUCAUGUUGAGGCAUUUUAAUUUUUUUUUUUUUUUGUGCCAUAGACACUGUCAGCACAAUCUGCAGUUACACUAACAAAAAUGCUGCAAAAAACAAAGAAUUAUGGAAAAAUUACACAUGGACUGACAUAGAGGAGGAUCUACACAAGUUUUUUACAUCAUGUUUUACAUCAUGCAUCAUUUACAUCAUGUUUUUUUGUAGUGGCAUAAAUAAAAAGUGACAUUUGUGAGACUAUACAGUGUUUUGUAAAUAAUUUUACAAAGAACGCCUGGGCCAUUGCCUGCAUUUUGAUGUAAAUAGAGGUAAAUCACUAUGUUCUUUGUUAAAAAUUUGCAUAUGUUUUGAAGUUUACAAUUUUUAUUUGAAGUUUAAGUUUUAAAAACAGUUCAUCACACAUAUUUGUGGUUUUCACAGUAAAAAUGUUACUUUUUUCCACUCGGAUUUUAUGUUUUGUGUGUGAAUUUGGGUCCAUUGUGUAAAUUCAGUAUGUCAACAUGAUAAAAUAACUGUAUAUUCGCACAGGUGAGGUUGUGCUGAAAAAAAUGAUACCAGGCAAGGCACGUGAUUGUCAAAUUUUGUGUCAAUAUGACAAAGCGUAUAGGCGUGAAUCUCAACAAUAUGUAUUUUCACCUUAGGGGACAAGAAAAAAUGGACUUUUUUCUCCUGCCAUGGGGGGCGCUCUUUUGGGGAGUAAAAAUUCCUUCACAAAUGUGUUGAUGGCUGGACAUUGCAUCAUCCUAGAAAACUUGGAGGCCAGUGAGGACAAAAAUAAAAAGUUAUAAGACUUUUAAAUAUGUGGAUUUUAGGGUUAUCUUUGGCGCCCCCUAGAACCUAAACCGUGGGGUGCAGCGUCAUGAUUUGAAUAACUUUUAAUGGCCAUGGGGUGUAGAUUGGCCUGAGCAAAUGUGUUGCCGGUGGAACGAAAGCCUUAGGAGGAGUUAGCCACAUUCCAAUGUGUGCGGAUCGGCAAAAAAUGCGGAAUAACCCUUUAACCGUACAUUUGACAGAUACGCGCUCAUAGACUUUUUUGUAGAUCUUAUUGAGAUACAUGUGUGUGUCAAUUUUUGUGUCAUUUUGCCAAAGCGUAAAGGUGUGACACUCAACAAUGUGUAUUUUCACCUUAGGGGUCAAGAAAAAAUGGACUUUUUUCUCCUGCCAUGGGGGGGCGCUCUUUUGGGGAGUAAAAAUUCCUUCACAGAUGUGUUGAUGGCUGGACAUUGCAUCAUCCUAGAAAACUUGGAGGCCAGUGAGGACAAAAAUAAAAAGUUAUAAGACUUUUAAAUAUGUGGAUUUUAGGGUUAUUUUUGGCGCCCCCUAGAACCUAAACCGUGGGGUGCAGCGUCAUGAUUUGAAUAACUUUUAAUGGCCAUGGGGUGUAGAUUGGCCUGAGCAAAUGUGGUGCCGGUGGAACGAAAGCCUUCGGAGGAGUUAGCGAAAUUCCAAUGUGUGCAGAUCUGCAAAAAAUGCAAAAUAACCCAUUAACCGUACAUUUGACAGAUACGCCCGCACUGACUUUUUUGUAGAUCUUAUUGAGAUACAUGUGUGUGUCAAUUUUUGUGUCAAUAUGACAAAGCGUACAGCCGUCAUGUGAAUUUUCACCUUAGGGGGCGCUAUGGAGCCAUUUUGCAUUUUAUUGUUUGGGCGACUUCGGAAUAUCAAAUUUUUCACCAGGCCCGGUCGUCCUGCCAAAUUUCAUGAGUUUUCGCCAGUGGGAAGUGGGCCAUUUUCCAGUUCAAAGGGGAGGAAAAAGAAAAAAGAAACAAAGAAAAACCACUUGGGGAAUAAUAGGGCUCUCGCAGCUGCUUAGCAGCUACGCUCGGGCCCUAAUAAUAACAAAAGAAGGAAACUACAGGAACAAGAGGGCUCUCGCAGCUGCUUAGCAGCUACGCUCGGGCCCUAAAGAAAGAAAGAAAGAAAGAAACAAAGAAAAACCACUUGGGGAAUAAUAGGGCCUACGCCCGGCUGCUCUGCAGCUGGCUCGGGCCCUAAUAAGAAGAAGAAGAAACUAGGGCCCCGUUGGGGCACUGGCGGGCCCGAGCCUCGUUGCGCCGCCCCCAGUGCGACCACCUCCCCCUCCCGAUCGCGUCACACUCAAGGUCCAAAGAUGGUGUGCGCACUUGUCUGUGGUCAUUUCCCAUUAUAAUGAAUAGGAGGCGCAGUUUCUACCAAAACACUCGCUGCAGACAAACUACAUGUCCUAUUUGAAAAAAGUCUGGACCAUGAGUGAGGGCACAAACACAGCUAGGAUAUAUCCAAACGGCAAGUUGCUCCUCGUUACGGUGUUGCCGGGAGAGCGAUGCGAUUGAGCCAUUGAGUGAUGGGCAGGAAAAACUUGACUGUUUCUCCUGCCAUGGGGGAUGGGGGAUGGGGGGGGGGGAUUCUUUUAAGAAUGUGGAUAUUUGGGUCAUCUUUGGCGCCCCCUAGAACGUAAACCGUGGGGUGCAGCGUCAUGAUUUUUACAACUUUGAAUGGCCAUGGGGUGUAGAUUGGCCUGAGCAAAUUUGGUGUCAGUGGGACGAAAGCCUUAGGAGGAGUUAGCCACAUUCCAAUGUGUGCUAAUCGGCAAAAAAUGCAAAAUAGCCCUUUAACCGUACAUUUUACAGAUACGCGCGCAUUGACUUUUUCGUAGAUCUUAUUGAGAUACAUGUGUGUGUCAAAUUUUGUGUCAAUAUGACAAAGCAUACAGGUAUGACAGUCAACAAUGUGUAUUUUCACCUUAUGGGACAAGAAAAAAUGGACUUUUUUCUCCUGCCAUGGGGGGGCGCUCUUUUGGGGAGUAAAAAUUCCUUCACAAAUGUGUUGAUGGCUGGACAUUGCAUCAUCCUAGAAAACUUGGAGGCCAGAGAGGACAAAAAUAAAAAGUUAUAAGACUUUUAAAUAUGUGGAUUUUAGGGUUAUCUUUGGCGCCCCCUAGAACCUAAACCGUGGGGUGCAGCGUCAUGAUUUGAAUAACUUUUAAUGGCCAUGGGGUGUAGAUUGGCCUGAGCAAAUGUGGUGCCGGUGGAACGAAAGCCUUCGGAGGAGUUAGCGAAAUUCCAAUGUGUGCGGAUCGGCAAAAAAUGCGCAAUAACCCUUUAACCGUACAUUUGACAGAUACGCGCGCAUUGACUUUUUCGUAGAUCUUAUUGAGAUACAUGUGUGUGUCAAUUUUUGUGUCAUUUUGCCAAAGCGUACAGGCGUGACACUAAACAAUGUGUAUUUUCACCUUAUGGGACAAGAAAAAAUUGACUUUUUUCUCCUGCCAUGGGGGGGCGCUCUUUUGGGGAGUAAAAAUUCCUUCACAAAUGUGUUGAUGGCUGGACAUCGCAUCAUCCUAGAAAACUUGGAGGCCAGUGAGGGCAAAAAUAAAAAGUUAUAAGACUUUUAAAUAUGUGGAUUUUAGGGUUAUCUUUGGCGCCCCCUAGAACCUAAACCUUUCUGCUUGUUUUGAUCACGUUCGGCGCUCGAUCGCGCUGUAUGAGACAGGAAAACAUAGCAUGCACACAUUAGUGACAGGUCUUACAGGCGGAAAAGGCUUGCCAAAAGAAAAAAAAAACACACCACAACAUCUCUCCUAUUGGUGGAAAACUUCACCACAACAACCAAUCCAAAAUUAUAUGGUGACUGAUUGACAAGGGGCGGGCGCUUACGUUCUUCCUGCAACAUGAGAAGGGAGGGAGGGACUCUCAGCAGGGAUGCAGUCUGGGACACGUAGUUGCAAACCUAGCGACUUUGUUGUUAGAUUCAAUUACUUUUCAGACCCCCUAACGACUUUUUUUUAGAAAGAAAGGGACUUUUAUCGACUUCUUCUGGAGUUUAGAGACUCUGACAUGAAGCAGGCUUUCCUUACUGAGGAGUUAGCAACGCUGCUAAGGGUGCAGAGCCACACAUGCGCUCCGAGCUCUGCAUGGGAGACUGAAGCUGACAGAGCUGCAGCAGUUAGCAGGUUUCACCCUCAGAGACCACCAGGGGUUCAUGCUGAGGCAUUUUCAGUUUUUGUUUUUUUUGCCAUAGACUGUCAGCACAAUCUGCAGUUACACUAACAAAAAUGCUGCAAAAAACAAAGAAUUAUGGAAAAAUUACACAUGGACUGACAUAGAGGAGGAUCUACACAAGUUUUUUACAUCAUGUUUUACAUCAUGCAUCAUUUACAUCAUGUUUUUUUGUAGUGGCAUACAUAAAAAGUGACAUUUGUGAGACUAUACAGUGUUUUGUAAAUAAUUUUACAAAGAACGCCUGGGCCAUUGCCUGCAUUUUGAUGUAAAUAGAGGUAAAUUACUAUGUUCUUUGUUAAAAAUUUGCAUAUGUUUUGAAGUUUACAAUUUUUAUUUGAAGUUUAAGUUUUAAAAACAGUUCAUCACACAUAUUUGUGGUUUAAUUUCACAUUAAUUUCCAUAUUGUAUAAAUGACUGGAAAAAACUUGAGCCCCUGCCCCUGUAUAAUCAUGUGCACGUCCCUGUUCUAGCUCCAAGGUGAAUCUUCACUGCUCAUGUUCUCCUCAGAAAUAGUCACCUCACUCCCCUCAGGUUACUGUACACAUGCACCAACUAUCUGCUUCAGGUUUGGAUGGAGCUUCAUGGUUGUCUUUUGGAGAAAUGAACAGUCAAGUUGUGUUUGAAAUCUGAUUUUUUUCAGGGGCAAAAGGAAGCCUCUGCAUUCUUGUCAAAUAUGUAAACAGCAUGUUUUUGCAGGUGCUAAAAAACAGACUCUGAGUGUGUGUGUGUGUGUGUGUGUGUGUGUGUGUGUGUGUGUGUGUGUGUGUGUGUGUGUGUGUGUGUGUGUUCCUGCAGUACUCUGUACUCCUGCAGUGGCCAAAAAGACUUUUAAGAAUGUGGAUUUUUGGGUCAUCUUUGGCGCCCCCUAGAACUGCAGUACUCUGUACUCCUGCAGUGGCCAAAAUGACUUUUAAGAAUGUGGAUUUUUGGGUCAUCUUUGGCGCCCCCUAGAACGUAAACCGUGGGGUGCAGCGUCAUGAUUUUUACAACUUUGAAUGGGCAUGGGGUGUAGAUUGCCCUGAGCAAAUUUGGUAUCGGUGGGACGAAAGCCUUAGGAGGAGAUAGCCACAUUCCAAUGUGUGCGAAUCGGCAAAAAAUGCGAAAUAGCCCUUUAACCGUACAUUAUACAGACACGCGCUUUUUGACUUUUUCGUAGAUCUAAUUGAGAUACACAUGAUUGUCAAUUUUUGUGUCAAUAUGACAAAGCGUUCAGGCGUGACACUCAACAAUGUGUAUUUUCAUGUAAGGGGACAAGAAAAAAUUGACUUUUUUCUCCUGCCAUGGGGGGGCGCUCUUUUGGGGAGUAAAAAUUCCUUCACAAAUGUGUUGAUGGCUGGACAUUGCAUCAUCCUAGAAAACUUGGAGGGCAGUGAGGACAAAAAUAAAAAGUUAUAAGACUUUUAAGAAUGUGGAUUUUGGGUUAUCUUUGGCGCCCCCUAGAACGUAAACCGUGGGGUGCAGCGUCAUGAUUUGUACAACUUUUAAUGGCCAUGGGGGGUAGAUUGGCCUGCGCAAAUGUGGUGCCGGUCGAACGAAAGCCUUCGGAGGAGUUAGCGAAAUUCCAAUGUGUGCAGAUCUGCAAAAAAUGCAAAAAAACCCAUUAACCGUACAUUUGACAGAUACGCCCGCACUGACUUUUUUGUAGAUCUUAUUGAGAUACAUGUGUGUGUCAAUUGUUGUGUCAAUAUGACAAAGCGUACAGCUGUCAUGUGAAUUUUCACCUUAGGGGGCGCUAUGGAGCCAUUUUGCAUUUUCUUGUUUGGGCGACUUCAGAAUAUCGAAUUUUUCACCAGGCCCGGUCGUCCUGCCAAAUUUCCUGAGUUUUCGCCAGUGGGAAGUGGGCCAUUUUCCAGUUUAAAGCGGAGGAAAAAUAAUAACGAAAGAAGGAAACAUGCAGGAACAAGAGGGCUCUCGCAGCUGCUUAGCAGCUACGCUCGGGCCCUAAAGAAAGAAAGAAAGAAAGAAAGAAGAAAGAAAAACUCAUCAGGAAUAAUAGGGCUCUACGCCCGGCUGCUCUGCAGCUGGCUCGGGCCCUAACUAGGACCCCGUUGGGGCACUGGCGGGCCCGAGCCGUGUCGCGUCUCCCCCCCCCCCCCAACAUGCUGCCUCCCCGUCCCAUUUGUGCCCAUCACUGCAAAGACCCUUUUCCUUCAUCGGCGUUUGCUGUUCUUCCUGCCAGUGCGUGUUGCUUUCACUUACACUUGCCACAGCCAGCCUCGUGAGUGCCUAGCCUAUUGGAUAUCACUGUCACCUACACAGGACAGUCAUUACCUUUCUAUUAAUACUUUGUGUUUUAAUUUCACAUUAAUUUCCAUAUUGUAUAAACGACUGGAAAAAACUUGAGCCCCUGCCCCUGUAUAAUCAUGUGCAUGUCUCUGUUCUAGCUCCAAGGUGAAUCUUCACUGCUCAUGUUCUCCUCAGAAGCACUCACCUCACUCCCCUCAGGUUACUGUACACAUGCACCAACUGCCUGCUUCAGGUUUGGAUGGAGCUUCAUGGUUGUCUUUUGGAGAAAUGACCAGUCAAGUUGUGUUUGAAAUUUGAUUUUUUUCAGGGGCAAAAGGAGCCUCUGCAUUCUUGUCAAAUAUGUAAAUAGCAUGUUUUUGCAGGUGCUAAAAACCAGACUCUGAGUGUGUGUGUGUGUGUGUGUGUGUGUGUGUGUGUGUGUGUGUGCGUGUGUGUGCGUGUGUGUGUGUCUAUGUGUGCGUUCAAGUCACAUGACAUAUUUAACCGGAUGUAGCUGCAAGACGGAGCCUCGUUGACUCUCCAUUUCAACUUAUCUCAAAAGUGAGGACCUCAACCUAUAUACCAGUUUUUAAAUUGUGUUGAUAGGCCAAAUAAAACCAGAGUUAUGAUAAAUUAUGUCCGCGAUACUUUUUUUCUGCUUAUUUUGAUCACGUUCGGCGCUCGAUCGCGCUGUAUGAGACAGGAAAACAUAGCAUGCAGACAUUAGCGACAGGUCUUACAGGCGGAAAAGGCUUGCCAAAGGAAAAAAAUACACACCACAACAUCUCUCCUAUUGGUGGAAAACUUCACCACAACAACCAAUCCAAAAUUAUAUGGUGACUGAUUGACAAGGGGCGGGCGCUUACGUUCUUCCUGCAACAUGAGAAGGGAGGGAGGGACUCUCAGCAGGGAUGCAGUCUGGGACACGUAGUUGCAAACCUAGCGACUUUGUUGUUAGAUUCAAUGACUUUUCAGACACCCUAACGACUUUUUUUUAGAAAGAAAGGGACUUUUAUCGACUUCUUCUGGAGUUUAGAGACUCUGACAUGAAGCAGGCUUUCCUUACUGAGGAGUUAGCAACGCGGCUAAGGGUGCAGAGCCACACAUGCGCUCAGAGCUCUGCAUGGGAGACUGAAGCUGACAGAGCUGCAGCAGUUAGCAGGUUUCACCCUCAGAGACCACCAGGGGUUCAUGUUGAGGCAUUUUAAUUUUUUUUUUUUUUUGUGCCAUAGACACUGUCAGCACAAUCUGCAGUUACACUAACAAAAAUGCUGCAAAAAACAAAGAAUUAUGGAAAAAUUACACAUGGACUGACAUAGAGGAGGAUCUACACAAGUUUUUUACAUCAUGUUUUACAUCAUGCAUCAUUUACAUCAUGUUUUUUUGUAGUGGCAUAAAUAAAAAGUGACAUUUGUGAGACUAUACAGUGUUUUGUAAAUAAUUUUACAAAGAACGCCUGGGCCAUUGCCUGUAUUUGGAUGUAAAUAGAGGUAAAUUACUAUGUUCUUUGUUAAAAAUUUGCAUAUGUUUUGAAGUUUACAAUUUUUAUUUGAAGUUUAAGUUUUAAAAACAGUUCAUCACACAUAUUUGUGGUUUAAUUUCACAUUAAUUUCCAUAUUGUAUAAAUGACUGGAAAAAACUUGAGCCCCUGCCCCUGUAUAAUCAUGUGCACGUCCCUGUUCUAGCUCUAAGGUGAAUCUUCACUGCUCAUGUUCUCCUCAGAAAUAGUCACCUCACUCCCCUCAGGUUACUGUACACAUGCACCAACUAUCUGCUUCAGGUUUGAAAUGGAGCUUCAUGGUUGUCUUUUGGAGAAAUGAACAGUCAAGUUGUGUUUGAAAUUUGAUUUUUUUCAGGGGCAAAAGGAAGCCUCUGCAUUCUUGUCAAAUAUGUAAACAGCAUGUUUUUGCAGGUGCUAAAAAACAGACUCUGAGUGUGUGUGUGUGUCUGUGUGUGUGUGUGUGUGUGUGUGUGUGUGUGUGUGUAUGUUGGCGUGUGUGUAUAUGUGUGUGUAUCCUGCAGUACUCUGUACUCCUGCAGUGGCCAAAAAGACUUUUAAGAAUGUGGAUUUUUGGGUCAUCUUUGGCGCCCCCUAGAACUGCAGUACUCUGUACUCCUGCAGUGGCCAAAAUGACUUUUAAGAAUGUGGAUUUUUGGGUCAUUUUUGGCGCCCCCUAGAACGUAAACCGUGGGGUGCAGCGUCAUGAUUUUUACAACUUUGAAUGGGCAUGGGGUGUAGAUUGCCCUGAGCAAAUUUGGUAUCGGUGGGACGAAAGCAUUAGGAGGAGAUAGCCACAUUCCAAUGUGUGCGAAUCGGCAAAAAAUGCAAAAUAGCCCUUUAACCGUACAUUAUACAGAUACGCGCUCUUUGACUUUUUCGUAGAUCUAAUUGAGAUACACAUGAUUGUCAAUUUUUGUGUCAAUAUGACAAAGCGUUCAGGCGUGACACUCAACAAUGUGUAUUUUUAUGUAAGGGGACAAGAAAAAAUUGACUUUUUUCUCCUACCAUGGGGGGGCGCUCUUUUGGGGAGUAAAAAUUCCUUCACAAAUGUGUUGAUGGCUGGACAUUGCAUCAUCCUAGAAAACUUGGAGGCCAGUGAGGACAAAAAUAAAAAGUUAUAAAACAUUUAAGAAUGUGGAUUUUUGGGUUAUUUUUGGCGCCCCCUAGAACCUAAACCAUGGGGUGCAGCAUCAUGAUUUGAAUAACUUUUAAUGGCCAUGGGGUGUAGAUUGGCCUGAGCAAAUGUGGUGCCGGUGGAACGAAAGCCUUCGGAGGAGUUAGCGAAAUUCCAAUGUGUGCGUAUCGGCAAAAAAUGCGGAAUAACCCUUUAACUGUACAUUUGACAGAUACGCGCGCUUGGACUUUUUUGUAGAUCUUAUUGAGUUACAUGUGUGUGUCAAUUUUUGUGUCAUUUUGACAAAGCGUAUAGGCGUGACACUCAACAAUGUGUAUUUUCACCUUAGGGGACAAGAAAAAAUGGACUUUUUUCUCCUGCCAUGGGGGGGCGCUCUUUUGGGGAGUAAAAAUUCCUUCACAAAUGUGUUGAUGGCUGGACAUUGCAUCAUCCUAGAAAACUUGGAGGCCAGUGAGGACAAAAAUAAAAAGUUAUAAGACUUUUAAAUAUGUGGAUUUUAGUGUUAUCUUUGGCGCCCCCUAGAACCUAAACCUUGGGGUGCAGCGUCAUGAUUUUGAUAACUUUUAAUGGCCACGGGGUGUAGAUUGGCCUGAGCAAAUGUGGUGCCGGUGGAACGAAAGCCUUCGGAGGAGUUAGCGAAAUUCCAAUGUGUGCGGAUCGGCAAAAAAUGCGAAAUAACCCUUUAACCGUAAUUUUGACAGAUACGGCCGCACUGACUUUUUUGUAGAUCUUAUUGAGAUACAUAUGUGUGUCAAUUUUUGUGUCAAUAUGACAAAGCGUACAGGCGUGACAGUCAAUAGUGUGAAUUUCCACCUUAGGGGGCGCUAUGGAGCCAUUUUGAAUUUUAUUGUUUGGGCGACUUCAGAAUAUCGAAUUUUUCACCAGGCCCGGUCGUCCUGCCAAAUUUCAUGAGUUUUCGCCAGUGGGAAGUGGGCCAUUUUCCAGUUCAAAGGGGAGGAAAAAGAAGAAACUAGGGCCCCGUUGGGGCACUGGCGGGCCCGAGCCGUGUCACGCCGCCCCCAGCGCGACCGCCUCCCCCACCCGAUCGCGUCACACUCAAGGUCCAAAGAUGGUGUGCGCACUUGUUUGUGGUCAUUUACCAUUAUAAUGAACGGGAGGCGCAGUUUCUACCAAAACGCUCGCUGCAGAAAAACUCCAUGUCCUAUUUGAAAAAAGUCUGGACCAUGAGUGAGGGCACAAACACAGCUAAGAUAUAUCCAAAUGGCAAGUUGCUCCUCCUUUCGCUUUUGCCGAGAGAGCAGUGCGUUUGAGCCAUUGAAUGAUGAACAGGAAAAACUUGACUUUAUUCUCCUGCCAUGGGGGGCGCUCUUUUAAAGAGAAAAAACUCCUUCACAAAUGUGUUGAUGGCUGGACAUUGCAUCAUCCUAGAAAACAUGGAGGCCAGUGAGGACAAAAAUAAAAAUUUAUAAGACUUUUAAAUAUGUGGAUUUUAGGGUUAUCUUUGGCGCCCCUUAGAACCUAAACCGUGGGGUGCAGCGUCAUGAUUUGAAUAACUUUUAAUGGCCAUGGGGUGUAGAUUGGCCUGAGCAAAUGUGGUGCCGGUGGAACGAAAGCCUUCGGAGAAAUUAGCGAAAUUCCAAUGUGUGCGAAUCUGCAAAAAAUGCGAAAUAACCCUUUAACCGUACAUUUUACAGAUACGUGGCCAUUGACUUUUUCGAAGAUCUUAUUGAAAUACACGUGUAUGUAAAAUUUUGUGUCAAUACGACAAAACAUACAGGCGUAGCACUCAACAAUGUGUAUUUUCACCUUAGUGGACAAGAAAAAAUGGACUUUUUUCUCCUGCCAUGGGGGGGCGCUCUUUUGCCGAGUAAAAAUUCCUUCACAAAUGUGUUGAUGGCUGGACAUUGCAUCAUCCUAGAAAACUUGGAGGCCAGUGGGGACAAAAAUAAAAAGUUAUAAGACUUUUAAAUAUGUGGAUUUUACGGUUAUCUUUGGCUCCCCCUAGAACCUAAACCGUGGGGUGCAGCGUCAUGAUUUGAAUAACUUUUAAUGGCCAUGGGGUGUAGAUUGGCCUGAGCAAAUGUGGUGCCGGUGGAACGAAAGCCUUCGGAGGAGUUAGCGAAAUUCCAAUGUGUGCGGAUCGGCAAAAAAUGCGGAAUAACCCUUUAACCGUACAUUUGACAGAUACGCGCGCAUUGACUUUUUCGUAGAUCUUAUUGAGAUACAUGUGUGUGUCAAUUUUUGUGUCAUUUUGCCAAAGCGUACAGGUGUUACACUCAACAAUGUGUAUUUUCACCUUAGGGGACAAGAAAAAAUGGACUUUUUUCUCCUGCCAUGGGGGGCGCUCUUUUGGGGAGUAAAAAUUCCUUCACAAAUGUGUUGAUGGCUGGACAUUGCAUCAUCCUAGAAAACUUGGAGGCCAGUGAGGGCAAAAAUAAAAAGUUAUAAGACUUUUAAAUAUGUGGAUCUUAGGGUUAUCUUUGGCGCCCCCUAGAACCUAAACCGUGGGGUGCAGCGUCAUGAUUUGAAUAACUUUUAAUGGCCAUGGGGUGUAGAUUGGCCUGAGCAAAUGUGGUGCCGGUGGAACGAAAAGCCUUCGGAGGAGUUAGCGAAAUUCCAAUGUGUGCGGAUCGGCAAAAAAUGCGGAAUAACCCUUUAACCGUACAUUUGACAGAUACGCGCGCAUUGACUUUUUUGUAGAUCUUAUUGAGAUACAUGUGUGUGUCAAUUUUUGUGUCAUUUUGCCAAAGCGUACAGGUGUUACACUCAACAAUGUGUAUUUUCACCUUAGGGGACAAGAAAAAAUGGACUUUUUUCUCCUGCCAUGGGGGGGCGCUCUUUUGGGGAGUAAAAAUUCCUUCACAAAUGUGUUGAUGGCUGGACAUUGCAUCAUCCUAGAAAACUUGGAGGCCAGUGAGGGCAAAAAUAAAAAGUUAUAAGACUUUUAAAUAUGUGGAUCUUAGGGUUAUCUUUGGCGCCCCCUAGAACCUAAACCGUGGGGUGCAGCGUCAUGAUUUGAAUAACUUUUAAUGGCCAUGGGGUGUAGAUUGGCCUGAGCAAAUGUGGUGCCGGUGGAACGAAAGCCUUCGGAGGAGUUAGCGAAAUUCCAAUGUGUGCGGAUCGGCAAAAAAUGCGAAAUAACCCUUUAACCGUACAUUUGACAGAUACGCCCGCACUGACUUUUUUGUAGAUCUUAUUGAGAUACAUGUGUGUGUCAAUUUUUGUGUCAUUUGGACAAAGCGUACCGGCGUGACAGUGAAUAGUGUGAAUUUUCACCUUAGGGGGCGCUAUGGAGCCAUUUUGCAUUUUCUUGUUUGGGCGACUUCGGAAUAUCAAAUUUUUCACCAGGCCCGGUCGUCCUGCCAAAUUUCAUGAGUUUUCGCCAGUGGGAAGUGGGCCAUUUUCCAGUUCAAAGGGGAGGAAAAAUAACUAGGACCCCGUUGGGGCACUGGCGGGCCCGAGCCUUGUCGGAUGGAGCUUUGGAUGGAGCUUCAUGGUUGUCUUUUGGAGAAAUGACCAGUCAAGUUGUGUUUGAAAUUUGAUUUUUUUUUCAGGGGCAAAAGGAGCCUCUGCAUUCUUGUCAAAUAUGUAAAUAGCAUGUUUUUGCAGGUGCUAAAAACCAGACUCUGAGUGUGUGUGUGUGUGUGUGUGUGUGUGUGUGUGUGUGUGUGUGUGUGUGUGUGUGUGCGUGUGUGUGUGUCUGUGUGUGCGUUCAAGUCACAUGACAUAUUUAACCGGAUGUAGCUGCAAGACGGAGCCUCGUUGACUCUCCGUUUCAACUUAUCUCAAAAGUGAGGACCUCAACCUAUAUACCAGUUUUUAAAUUGUGUUGAUAGGCCAAAUAAAACCAGAGUUAUGAUAAAUUAUGUCCGCGAUACUUUUUUUCUGCUUAUUUUGAUCACGUUCGGCGCUCGAUCGCGCUGUAUGAGACAGGAAAACAUAGCAUGCACACAUUAGCGACAGGUCUUACAGGCGGAAAAGGCUUGCCAAAAGAAAAAAAAAACACACCACAACAUCUCUCCUAUUGGUGGAAAACUUCACCACAACAACCAAUCCAAAAUUAUAUGGUGACUGAUUGACAAGGGGAGGGCGCUUACGUUCUUCCUGCAACAUGAGAAGGGAGGGAGGGACUCUCAGCAGGGAUGCAGUCUGGGACACGUAGUUGCAAACCUAGCGACUUUGUUGUUAGAUUCAAUGACUUUUCAGACCCCCUAACGACUUUUUUUUUUAGAAAGAAAGGGACUUUUAUCGACUUCUUCUGGAGUUUAGAGACUCUGACAUGAAGCAGGCUUUCCUUACUGAGGAGUUAGCAACGCUGCUAAGGGUGCAGAGCCACACAUGCGCUCAGAGCUCUGCAUGGGAGACUGAAGCUGACAGAGCUGCAGCAGUUAGCAGGUUUCACCCUCAGAGACCACCAGGGGUUCAUGUUGAGGCAUUUUAAUUUUUUUUUUUUUUUGUGCCAUAGACACUGUCAGCACAAUCUGCAGUUACACUAACAAAAAUGCUGCAAAAAACAAAGAAUUAUGGAAAAAUUACACAUGGACUGACAUAGAGGAGGAUCUACACAAGUUUUUUACAUCAUGUUUUACAUCAUGCAUCAUUUACAUCAUGUUUUUUUGUAGUGGCAUAAAUAAAAAGUGACAUUUGUGAGACUAUACAGUGUUUUGUAAAUAAUUUUGCAAAGAACGCCUGGGCCAUUGCCUGCAUUUUGAUGUAAAUAGAGGUAAAUUACUAUGUUCUUUGUUAAAAAUUUGCAUAUGUUUUGAAGUUUACAAUUUUUAUUUGAAGUUUAAGUUUUAAAAACAGUUCAUCACACAUAUUUGUGGUUUAAUUUCACAUUAAUUUCCAUAUUGUAUAAAUGACUGGAAAAAACUUGAGCCCCUGCCCCUGUAUAAUCAUGUGCACGUCCCUGUUCUAGCUCCAAGGUGAAUCUUCACUGCUCAUGUUCUCCUCAGAAAUAGUCACCUCACUCCCCUCAGGUUACUGUACACAUGCACCAACUAUCUGCUUCAGGUUUGAAAUGGAGCUUCAUGGUUGUCUUUUGGAGAAAUGAACAGUCAAGUUGUGUUUGAAAUUUGAUUUUUUUCAGGGGCAAAAGGAAGCCUCUGCAUUCUUGUCAAAUAUGUAAACAGCAUGUUUUUGCAGGUGCUAAAAAACAGACUCUGAGUGUGUGUGUGUGUCUGUGUGUGUGUGUGUCUGUGUGUGUGUGUAUGUUGGCGUGUGUGUAUAUGUGUGUGUAUCCUGCAGUACUCUGUACUCCUGCAGUGGCCAAAAAAACCUUUUAAGAAUGUGGAUUUUUGGGUCAUCUUUGGCGCCCCCUAGAACUGCAGUACUCUGUACUCCUGCAGUGGCCAAAAUGACUUUUAAGAAUGUGGAUUUUUGGGUCAUCUUUGGCGCCCCCUAGAACGUAAACCGUGGGGUGCAGCGUCAUGAUUUUUACAACUUUGAAUGGGCAUGGGGUGUAGAUUGCCCUGAGCAAAUUUGGUAUCGGUGGGACGAAAGCCUUAGGAGGAGAUAGCCACAUUCCAAUGUGUGCGAAUCGGCAAAAAAUGCAAAAUAGCCCUUUAACCGUACAUUAUAAAGAUACGCGCUCUUUGACUUUUUCGUAGAUCUAAUUGAGAUACACAUGAUUGUCAAUUUUUGUGUCAAUAUGACAAAGCGUUCAGGCGUGACACUCAACAAUGUGUAUUUUCAUGUAAGGGGACAAGAAAAAAUGGACUUUUUUCUCCUACCAUGGGGGGGCGCUCUUUUGGGGAGUAAAAAUUCCUUCACAAAUGUGUUGAUGGCUGGACAUUGCAUCAUCCUAGAGAACUUGGAGGCCAGUGAGGACAAAAAUAAAAAGUUAUAAAACAUUUAAGAAUGUGGAUUUUUGGGUUAUUUUUGGCGCCCCCUAGAACCUAAACCAUGGGGUGCAGCAUCAUGAUUUGAAUAACUUUUAAUGGCCAUGGGGUGUAGAUUGGCCUGAGCAAAUGUGGUGCCGGUGGAACGAAAGCCUUCGGAGGAGUUAGCGAAAUUCCAAUGUGUGCGUAUCGGUAAAAAAUGCGGAAUAACCCUUUAACUGUACAUUUGACAGAUACGCGCGCAUGGACUUUUUUGUAGAUCUUAUUGAGUUACAUGUGUGUGUCAAUUUUUGUGUCAUUUUGACAAAGCGUAUAGGCGUGACACUCAAGAAUGUGUAUUUUCACCUUAGGGGACAAGAAAAAAUGGACUUUUUUCUCCUGCCAUGGGGGGGGCGCUCUUUUGGGGAGUAAAAAUUCCUUCACAAAUGUGUUGAUGGCUGGACAUUGCAUCAUCCUAGAAAACUUGGAGGCUAGUGAGGACAAAAAUAAAAAGUUAUAAGACUUUUAAAUAUGUGGAUUUUAGUGUUAUCUUUGGCGCCCCCUAGAACCUAAACCUUGGGGUGCAGCGUCAUGAUUUUGAUAACUUUUAAUGGCCACGGGGUGUAGAUUGGCCUGAGCAAAUGUGGUGCCGGUGGAACGAAAGCCUUCGGAGGAGUUAGCGAAAUUCCAAUGUGUGCGGAUCGGCAAAAAAUGCGAAAUAACCCUUUGACCGUACAUUUGACAGAUACGGCCGCACUGACUUUUUUGUAGAUCUUAUUGAGAUACAUAUGUGUGUCAAUUUUUGUGUCAAUAUGACAAAGCGUACAGGCGUGACAGUCAAUAGUGUGAAUUUCCACCUUAGGGGGCGCUAUGGAGCCAUUUUGCAUUUUAUUGUUUGGGCGACUUCAGAAUAUCGAAUUUUUCACCAGGCCCGGUCGUCCUGCCAAAUUUCAUGAGUUUUCGCCAGUGGGAAGUGGGCCAUUUUCCAGUUCAAAGGGGAGGAAAAAGAAGAAAGAAAGAAAGAAAGAAAGAAAGAAAGAAAGAAACAAAGAAAAACCACUUGGGGAAUAAUAGGGCCUACGCCCGGCUGCUCUGCAGCUGGCUCGGGCCCUAAUAAUAAUAACAAAAGAAGGAAACUACAGGAACAAGAGGGCUCUCGCAGCUGCUUAGCAGCUACGCUCGGGCCCUAACUAGGACCCCGUUGGGGCACUGGCGGGCCCGAGCCGUGUCGCGUCUCCCCCCCAACGCGCUGCCUCCCCGUCCCAUUUGUGUCCUCUGGCCAUCGCCCUCUCUGUUAACGCCCAUCACUGCAAAGACCCUUUUCCUUCAUCGGCGUUUGCUGUUCUUCCUGCCAGUGCGUGUUGCUUUCACUUACACUUGCCACAGCCAGCCUCGUGAGUGCCUAGCCUAUUGGAUAUCACUGUCACCUACACAGGACAGUCAUUACCUUUCUAUUAAUACUUUGUGUUUUAAUUUCACAUUAAUUUCCAUAUUGUAUAAACGACUGGAAAAAACUUGAGCCCCUGCCCCUGUAUAAUCAUGUGCAUGUCUCUGUUCUAGCUCCAAGGUGAAUCUUCACUGCUCAUGUUCUCCUCAGAAGCACUCACCUCACUCCCCUCAGGUUACUGUACACAUGCACCAACUGCCUGCUUCAGGUUUGGAUGGAGCUUCAUGGUUGUCUUUUGGAGAAAUGACCAGUCAAGUUGUGUUUGAAAUUUGAUUUUUUUCAGGGGCAAAAGGAGCCUCUGCAUUCUUGUCAAAUAUGUAAAUAGCAUGUUUUUGCAGGUGCUAAAAACCAGACUCUGAGUGUGUGUGUGUGUGUGUGUGUGUGUGUGUGUGUGUGUGUGCGUGUGUGUGUGUCUAUGUGUGCGUUCAAGUCACAUGACAUAUUUAACCGGAUGUAGCUGCAAGACGGAGCCUCGUUGACUCUCCGUUUCAACUUAUCUCAAAAGUGAGGACCUCAACCUAUAUACCAGUUUUUAAAUUGUGUUGAUAGGCCAAAUAAAACCAGAGUUAUGAUAAAUUAUGUCCGCGAUACUUUUUUUCUGCUUAUUUUGAUCACGUUCGGCGCUCGAUCGCGCUGUAUGAGACAGGAAAACAUAGCAUGCAGACAUUAGCGACAGGUCUUACAGGCGGAAAAGGCUUGCCAAAAGAAAAAAAAAACACACCACAACAUCUCUCCUAUUGGUGGAAAACUUCACCACAACAACCAAUCCAAAAUUAUAUGGUGACUGAUUGACAAGGGGCGGGCGCUUACGUUCUUCCUGCAACAUGAGAAGGGAGGGAGGGACUCUCAGCAGGGAUGCAGUCUGGGACACGUAGUUGCAAACCUAGCGACUUUGUUGUUAGAUUCAAUGACUUUUCAGACACCCUAACAACUUUUUUUAGAAAGAAAGGGACUUUUAUCGACUUCUUCUGGAGUUUAGAGACUCUGACAUGAAGCAGGCUUUCCUUACUGAGGAGUUAGCAACGCUGCUAAGGGUGCAGAGCCACACAUGCGCUCAGAGCUCUGCAUGGGAGACUGAAGCUGACAGAGCUGCAGCAGUUAGCAGGUUUCACCCUCAGAGACCACCAGGGGUUCAUGUUGAGGCAUUUUAAUUUUUUUUUUUUUUUGUGCCAUAGACACUGUCAGCACAAUCUGCAGUUACACUAACAAAAAUGCUGCAAAAAACAAAGAAUUAUGGAAAAAUUACACAUGGACUGACAUAGAGGAGGAUCUACACAAGUUUUUUUCAUCAUGUUUUACAUCAUGCAUCAUUUACAUCAUGUUUUUUUGUAGUGGCAUAAAUAAAAAGUGACAUUUGUGAGACUAUACAGUGUUUUGUAAAUAAUUUUACAAAGAACGCCUGGGCCAUUGCCUGCAUUUUGAUGUAAAUAGAGGUAAAUUACUAUGUUCUUUGUUAAAAAUUUGCAUAUGUUUUGAAGUUUACAAUUUUUAUUUGAAGUUUAAGUUUUAAAAACAGUUCAUCACACAUAUUUGUGGUUUAAUUUCACAUUAAUUUCCAUAUUGUAUAAAUGACUGGAAAAAACUUGAGCCCCUGCCCCUGUAUAAUCAUGUGCACGUCCCUGUUCUAGCUCCAAGGUGAAUCUUCACUGCUCAUGUUCUCCUCAGAAAUAGUCACCUCACUCCCCUCAGGUUACUGUACACAUGCACCAACUAUCUGCUUCAGGUUUGAAAUGGAGCUUCAUGGUUGUCUUUUGGAGAAAUGAACAGUCAAGUUGUGUUUGAAAUUUGAUUUUUUUCAGGGGCAAAAGGAAGCCUCUGCAUUCUUGUCAAAUAUGUAAACAGCAUGUUUUUGCAGGUGCUAAAAAACAGACUCUGAGUGUGUGUGUGUGUGUGUCUGUGUGUGUGUGUGUGUGUGUGUGUGUGUGUGUGUGUGUGUGUGUGUAUGUUGGCGUGUGUGUAUAUGUGUGUGUAUCCUGCAGUACUCUGUACUCCUGCAGUGGCCAAAAAGACUUUUAAGAAUGUGGAUUUUUGGGUCAUCUUUGGCGCCCCCUAGAACUGCAGUACUCUGUACUCCUGCAGUGGCCAAAAUGACUUUUAAGAAUGUGGAUUUUUGGGUCAUCUUUGGCGCCCCCUAGAACGUAAACCGUGGGGUGCAGCGUCAUGAUUUUUACAACUUUGAAUGGGCAUGGGGUGUAGAUUGCCCUGAGCAAAUUUGGUAUCGGUGGGACGAAAGCCUUAGGAGGAGAUAGCCACAUUCCAAUGUGUCCGAAUCGGCAAAAAAUGCAAAAUAGCCCUUUAACCGUACAUUAUACAGAUACGCGCUCUUUGACUUUUUCGUAGAUCUAAUUGAGAUACACAUGAUUGUCAAUUUUUGUGUCAAUAUGACAAAGCGUUCAGGCGUGACACUCAACAAUGUGUAUUUUUAUGUAAGGGGACAAGAAAAAAUUGACUUUUUUCUCCUACCAUGGAGGGGCGCUCUUUUGGGGAGUAAAAAUUCCUUCACAAAUGUGUUGAUGGCUGGACAUUGCAUCAUCCUAGAAAACUUGGAGGCCAGUGAGGACAAAAAUAAAAAGUUAUAAAACAUUUAAGAAUGUGGAUUUUUGGGUUAUUUUUGGCGCCCCCUAGAACCUAAACCUUGGGGUGCAGCGUCAUGAUUUUGAUAACUUUUAAUGGCCAUGGGGUGUAGAUUGGCCUGAGCAAAUGUGGUGCCGGUGGAACGCCAGCCUUAGGAGGAGUUAGCGAAAUUCCAAUGUGUGCGGAUCAGCAAAAAAUGCGGAAUAACCCUUUAACCGUACAUUUGACAGAUACGCGCGCAUUGACUUUUUCGUAGAUCUUAUUGAGAUACAUGUGUGUGUCAAAUUUUGUGUCAAUAUGACAAAGCGUACAGGCGUGACACUCAACAAUGUGUAUUUUCACCUUAGGGGACAAGAAAAAAUGGACUUUUUUCUCCUGCCAUGGGGGGGCGCUCUUUUGGGGAUUAAAAAUUCUUUCACAAAUGUGUUGAUGGCUGGACAUUGCAUCAUCCUAGAAAACUUGGAGGCCAGUGAGGUCAAAAAUAAAAAGUUAUAAGACUUUUAAAUAUGUGGAUUUUAGGGUUAUCUUUGGCGCCCCCUAGAACCUAAACCGUGGGGUGCAGCGUCAUGAUUUGAAUAACUUUUAAUGGCCAUGGGGUGUAGAUUGGCCUGAGCAAAUGUGGUGCCGGUGGAACGAAAGCCUUCGGAGGAGUUAGCGAAAUUCCAAUGUGUGCGGAUCGGCAAAAAAUGCGGAAUAACCCUUUAACCGUACAUUUGACAGAUAUGCCCGCACUGACUUUUUUGUAGAUCUUAUUGAGAUACAUGUGUGUGUCAAUUUUUGUGUCAAUAUGACAAAGCGUAAAGGCGUGACAGUCAAUAGUGUGAAUUUUCACCUUAGGGGGCGCUAUGGAGCCAUUUUGCAUUUUCUUGUUUGGGCGACUUCGGAAUAUCAAAUUUUUCACCAGGCCCGGUCAUCCUGCCAAAUUUCAUGAGUUUUCGCCAGUGGGAAGUGGGCCAUUUUCCAGUUCAAAGGGGAGGAAAAAGAAGAAAGAAAGAAACAAAGAAAAACCCCUUGGGGAAUAAUAGGGCUCUCGCAGCUGCUUAGCAGCUACGCUCGGGCCCUAAGAAAGAAAGAAAGAAAGAAAGAAAGAAACAAAGAAAAACCACUUGGGGAAUAAUAGGGCCUACGCCCGGCUGCUCUGCAGCUGGCUCGGGCCCUAAGAAACAAAGAAAAACCACUUGGGGAAUAAUAGGGCUCUCGCAGCUGCUUAGCAGCUACGCUCGGGCCCUAACUAGGGCCCCGGUGGGGCACUGUCGGGCCCGAGCCGCGUCGCGCCGCCCCCAGCGCGACCGCCUCCCCCUCCCGAUCGCGUCACACUCAAGGUCCAAAGAUGGUGUGCGCACUUGUCUGUGGUCAUUUCCCAUUAUAAUGAAUGGGAGGCGCAGUUUCUACCAAAACACUCGCUGCAGACAAACUUCAUGUCCUAUUUGAAAAAAGUCUGGACCAUGAGUGAGGGCACAAACACAGCUAUGAUAUAUCGAAAUGGCAGGUUGCUCCUCCUUACGGUGUUACCUGGAGAGCGAUGCGAUUGAGCCAUUGAGCGAUGGGCAGGGUAAACUUGACUUUUUCUCCUGCCUUGGGGGGGGGGGGGGGAUGUGGAUUCCUUUAAGAAUGUGGAUUUUUGGGUCAUCUUUGGCGCCCCCUAGAACGUAAACCGUGGGGUGCAGCGUCAUGAUUUUUACAACUUUUAAUGGCCACGGGGUGUAGAUUGGCCUGAGCAAAUGUGGUGCCGGUGGAACGAAAGCCUUCGGAGGAGUUAGCGAAAUUCCAAUGUGUGCGGAUCGGCAAAAAAUGCAAAAUAACCCUUUAACCGUAAUUUUGACAGAUACGGCCGCACUGACUUUUUUGUAGAUCUUAUUGAGAUACAUAUGUGUGUCAAUUUUUGUGUCAAUAUGACAAAGCGUACAGGCGUGACAGUCAAUAGUGUGAAUUUCCACCUUAGGGGACAAGAAAAAAUGGACUUUUUUCUCCUGCCAUGGGGGGGCGCUCUUUUGGGGAGUAAAAAUUCCUUCACAAAUGUGUUGAUGGCUGGACAUUGCAUCAUCCUAGAAAACUUGGAGGCCAGUGAGGACAAAAAUAAAAAGUUAUAAGACUUUGAAAUAUGUGGAUUUUAGUGUUAUCUUUGGCGCCCCCUAGAACCUAAACCGUGGGGUGCAGCGUCAUGAUUUGAAUAACUUUUAAUGGCCAUGGGGUGUAGAUUGGCCUGAGCAAAUGUGGUGCCGGUGGAACGAAAGCCUUCGGAGGAGUUAGCGAAAUUCCAAUGUGUGCGGAUCGGCAAAAAAUGCGCAAUAACCCUUUAACCGUACAUUUGACAGAUACGCCCGCACUGACUUUUUUGUAGAUCUUAUUGAGAUACAUGUGUGUGUCAAUUUUUGUGUCAUUUUGACAAAGCGUACAGGCGUCAGGUGAAUUUUUCACCUUAGGGGGCGCUAUGGAGCCAUUUUGCAUUUUCUUGUUUGGGCGACUUCGGAAUAUCAAAUUUUUCACCAGGCCCGGUCGUCCUGCCAAAUUUCAUGAGUUUUCGCCAGUGGGAAGUGGGCCAUUUUCCAGUUCAAAGGGGAGGAAAAAUAACUAGGACCCCGUUGGGGCACUGGCGGGCCCGAGCUGUGUCGCGCCCCCCCCCCAACGCGCUGCCUCCCCGUCCCAUUUGUGUCCUCUGGCCAUCGUCCUCUCUGGUAACGCCCAUCACUGCAAAGACCCUUUUCCUUCAUCGGCGUUUGCUGUUCUUCCUGCCAGUGCGUGUUGCUUUCACUUACACUUGCCACAGCCAGCCUCUUGAGUGCCUAGCCUAUUGGAUAUCACUGUCACCUACUCAGGACAGUCAUUACCUUUCUAUUAAUACUUUGUUUUUUAAUUUCACAUUAAUUUCCAUAUUGUAUAAACAACUGGAAAAAACUUGAGCCCCUGCCCCUGUAUAAUCAUGUGCACGUCUCUGUUCUAGCUCUAAGGUGAAUCUUCACUGCUCAUGUUCUCCUCAGAAGCAGUCACCUCACUCCCCUCAGGUUACUGUACACAUGCACCAACUGCCUGCUUCAGGUUUGGAUGGAGCUUCAUGGUUGUCUUUUGGAGAAAUGACCAGUCAAGUUGUGUUUGAAAUUUGAUUUUUUUCAGGGGCAAAAGGAGCCUCUGCAUUCUUGUCAAAUAUGUAAAUAGCAUGUUUUUGCAGGUGCUAAAAACCAGACUCUGAGUGUGUGUGUGUGCGUGUGUGUGUGUGUCUGUGUGUGUGUGUGUGUGUGUGUGUGUGUGUGUGCGUUCAAGUCACAUGACAUAUUUAACCGGAUGUAGCUGCAAGACGGAGCCUCGUUGACUCCGUUUCAACUUAUCUCAAAAGUGAGGACCUCAACCUAUAUACCAGUUUUUAAAUUGUGUUGAUAGGCCAAAUAAAACCAGAGUUAUGAUAAAUUAUGUCCGCGAUACUUGUUUUCUGCUUAUUUUGAUCACGUUCGGCGCUCGAUCGCGCUGUAUGAGACAGGAAAACAUAGCAUGCAGACAUUAGCGACAGGUCUUACAGGCGGAAAAGGCUUGCCAAAGGAAAAAAAAAACACACCACAACAUCUCUCCUAUUGGUGGAAAACUUCACCACAACAACCAAUCCAAAAUUAUAUGGUGACUGAUUGACAAGGGGCGGGCGCUUACGUUCUUCCUGCAAUAUGAGAAGGGAGGGAGGGACUCUCAGCAGGGAUGCAGUCUGGGACACGUAGUUGCAAACCUAGCGACUUUGUUGUUAGAUUCAAUGACUUUUCAGACCCCCUAACGACUUUUUUUUUAGAAAGUGACUUUUAUCGACUUCUUCUGGAGUUUAGAGACUCUGACAUGAAGCAGGCUUUCCUUACUGAGGAGUUAGCAACGCUGCUAAGGGUGCAGAGCCACACAUGCGCUCCGAGCUCUGCAUGGGAGACUGAAGCUGACAGAGCUGCAGCAGUUAGCAGGUUUCACCCUCAGAGACCACCAGGGGUUCAUGUUGAGGCAUUUUCAGUUUUUUUUUUUUUUGCCAUAGACACUGUCAGCACAAUCUGCAGUUACACUAACAAAAAUGCUGCAAAAAACAAAGAAUUAUGGAAAAAUUACACAUGGACUAACAUAGAGGAGGAUCUACACAAGUUUUUUACAUCAUGUUUUACAUCAUGCAUCAUUUACAUCAUGUUUUUCUGUAGUGGCAUAAAUAAAAAGUGACAUUUGUGAGACUAUACAGUGUUUUGUAAAUAAUUUUACAAAGAACACCUGGGCCAUUGCCUGCAUUUUGAUGUAAAUAGAGGUAAAUUACUAUGUUCUUUGUUAAAACUUUGCAUAUGUUUUGAAGUUUACAAUUUUUAUUUGAAGUUUAAGUUCUUAAAACAGUUCAUCACACAUAUUUGUGGUUUUCACAGUAAAAACGUUACUUUUUUCCACUCGGAUUUUAUGUUUUGUGUGUGAAUUUGGGUCCAAUGUGUAAAUAUAGUAUGUCAAAAUGAUAAAAUAACUGUAAAUUGACACAGGUGAGGUUGUGCUGAAAAAAAUGAUACCAGGCAAGGCAAGGUAAAAAUUUUGUAAGAGGAAAUAUAAAGGUAAAAUCUAAAGUAGUCAAAAACGGCCAAUAGUGACUCACAGACUCCACAGACAAGUCCCUUUGGCGCCACUCAGUGGGCAAAACUACUUUGUCUACUGUAAUGUAUAUUUGGGUCAUCUUUGGCGCCCCCUAAAACGUAAACCGUGGGGUGCAGCGUCAUGAUUUUUACAACUUUGAAUGGCCAUGGAGUGUAGAUUGGCCUGAGCAAAUUUGGUGUCAGUGGGACGAAAGCCUUAGGAGGAGUUAGCGAAAUUCCAAUGUUUGCGAAUCGGCAAAAAAUGCAAAAUAGCCCUUUUACCGUACAUUAUACAGAUACGCGCUCUUUGACUUUUUCGUAGAUCUAAUUGAGAUACACAUGAUUGUCAAUUUUUGUGUCAUUUUGCCAAAGCGUACAGGCGUGACAGUCAACAAUGUGUAUUUUCACCUUAGGGGACAAGAAAAAAUGGACUUUUUUCUCCUGCCAUGGGGGGGCGCUCUUUUAGGGAGUAAAAAUUCCUUCACAAAUGUGUUGAUGGCUGGACAUUGCAUCAUCCUAGAAAACUUGGAGGCCAGUGAGGACAAAAAUAAAAAGUUAUAAGACUUUUAAAAAUGUGGAUUUUUGGGUUAUCUUUGGCGCCCCCUAGAACGUAAACCGUGGGGUGCAGCGUCAUGAUUUGAAUAACUUUUAAUGGCCAUGGGGUGUAGAUUGGCCUGAGCAAAUGUGGUGCCGGUGGAACGAAAGACUUCGGAGGAGUUAGCGAAAUUCCAAUGUGUGCGAAUCGGCAAAAAAUGCGGAAUAACCCUUUAACCGUACAUUUGACAGAUACGCGCGCGUGGACUUUUUUGUAGAUCUUAUUGAGAUACAUGUGUGUGUCAAUUUUUGUGUCAUUUUGACAAAGCGUACAGGCGUGACACUCAACAAUGUGUUUUUUCACCUUAGGGGACAAGAAAAAAUGGACUUUUUUCUCCUGCCAUGGGGGGGCGCUCUUUUGGGGAGUAAAAAUUCCUUCACAAAUGUGUUGAUGGCUGGACAUUGCAUCAUCCUAGAAAACUUGGAGGCCAGUGAGGGCAAAAAUAAAAAGUUAUAAGACUUUUAAAUAUGUGGAUUUUAGGGUUAUCUUUGGCGCCCCCUAGAACCUAAACCGUGGGGUGCAGCGUCAUGAUUUGAAUAACUUUUAAUGGCCAUGGGGUGUAGAUUGGCCUGAGCAAAUGUGGUGCCGGUGGAACGAAAGCCUUCGGAGGAGUUAGCGAAAUUCCAAUGUGUGCGGAUCGGCAAAAAAUGCGAAAUAACCCUUUAACCGUACAUUUGACAGAUACGGCCGCACUGACUUUUUUGUAGAUCUUAUUGAGAUACAUGUGUGUGUCAAUUUUUGUGUCAUUUUGACAAAGCGUACAGGCGUGACAGUCAAUAGUGUGAAUUUUCACCUUAGGGGGCGCUAUGGAGCCAUUUUGCAUUUUCUUGUUUGGGCGACUUCGGAAUAUCAAAUUUUUCACCAGGCCCGGUCGUCCUGCCAAAUUUCAUGAGUUUUCGCCAGUGGGAAGUGGGCCAUUUUCCAGUUCAAAGGGGAGGAAAAAGAAACUAGGGCCCCGGUGGGGCACUGUCGGGCCCGAGCCGCGUCGCGCCGCCCCCAGUGCGACCGCCUCCCCGUCCCGAUCGCGUCACACUCAAGAACCAAAGAUGGUGUGCGCACUUGUCUGUGGUCAUUUCCCAUUAUAAUGAAUGGGAGGCGCAGUUUCUACCAAAACACUCGCUGCAGACAAACUUCAUGUCCUAUUUGAAAAAAGUCUGGACCAUGAGUGAGGGCACAAACACAGCUAUGAUAUAUCGAAAUGCCAGGUUGCUCCUCCUUACGGUGUUGCCUGGAGAGCGAUGCGAUUGAGCCAUUGAGCGAUGGGCAGGAAAAACUUGACUUUUUCUCCUGCCAUAGGGGGGGGGAUGUGGAUUCUUUUAAGAAUGUGGAUUUUUGGGUCCUCUUUGGCGCCCCCUAGAACCUAAACCGUGGGGUGCAGCGUCAUGAUUUUUACAACUUUGAAUGGCCAUGGGGUGUAGAUUGGCCUGAGCAAAUUUGGUGUCAGUGGGACGAAAGCCUUAGGAGGAGUUAGCCACAUUCCAAUGUGUGCGAAUCGGCAAAAAAUGAAAAAUAGCCCUUUAACCGUACAUUUGACAGAUACGCGCGAAUUGACUUUUUUGUAGAUCUUAUUGAGAUACAUAUGUGUGUCAAUUUUUGUGUCAAUAUGAUAAAGCGUACAGGCGUGACAGUCAAUAGUGUGAAUUUCCACCUUAGGGGACAAGAAAAAAUUGACUUUUUUCUCCUGCCAUGGGGGGGCGCUCUUUUGGGGAGUAAAAAUUCCUUCACAAAUGUGUUGAUGGCUGGACAUUGCAUCAUCCUAGAAAACUUGGAGGCCAGUGAGGACAAAAAUAAAAAGUUAUAAGACUUUUAAAUAUGUGGAUUUUAGGGUUAUCUUUGGCGCCCCCUAGAACCUAAACCGUGGGAUGCAGCGUCAUGAUUUGAAUAACUUUUAAUGGCCAUGGGGUGUAGAUUGGCCUGAGCAAAUGUGGUGCCGGUGGAACGAAAGCCUUCGGAGGAGUUAGCGAAAUUCCAAUGUGUGCGGAUCGGCAAAAAAUGCGGAAUAACCCUUUAACCGUACAUUUGACAGAUACGCGCGCAUUGACUUUUUCGUAGAUCUUAUUGAGAUACAUGUGUGUGUCAAUUUUUGUGUCAUUUUGCCAAAGCGUACAGGUGUUACACUCAACAAUGUGUAUUUUCACCUUAGGUGACAAGAAAAAAUGGACUUUUUUCUCCUGCCAUGGGGGGGCGCUCUUUUGGGGAGUAAAAAUUCCUUCACAAAUGUGUUGAUGGCUGGACAUUGCAUCAUCCUAGAAAACUUGGAGGCCAGUGAGGACAAAAAUAAAAAGUUAUAAGACUUUUAAAUAUGUGGAUUUUAGUGUUAUCUUUGGCGCCCCCUAGAACCUAAACCUUGGGGUGCAGCGUCAUGAUUUUGAUAACUUUUAAUGGCCACGGGGUGUAGAUUGGCCUGAGCAAAUGUGGUGCCGGUGGAACGAAAGCCUUCGGAGGAGUUAGCGAAAUUCCAAUGUGUGCGGAUCGGCAAAAAAUGCGAAAUAACCCUUUAACCGUAAUUUUGACAGAUACGGCCGCACUGACUUUUUUGUAGAUCUUAUUGAGAUACAUAUGUGUGUCAAUUUUUGUGUCAAUAUGACAAAGCGUACAGGCGUGACAGUCAAUAGUGUGAAUUUCCACCUUAGGGGGCGCUAUGGAGCCAUUUUGAAUUUUAUUGUUUGGGCGACUUCAGAAUAUCGAAUUUUUCACCAGGCCCGGUCGUCCUGCCAAAUUUCAUGAGUUUUCGCCAGUGGGAAGUGGGCCAUUUUCCAGUUCAAAGGGGAGGAAAAAGAAGAACUAGGGCCCCGUUGGGGCACUGGCGGGCCCGAGCCGUGUCACGCCGCCCCCAGCGCGACCGCCUCCCCCACCCGAUCGCGUCACACUCAAGGUCCAAAGAUGGUGUGCGCACUUGUUUGUGGUCAUUUACCAUUAUAAUGAACGGGAGGCGCAGUUUCUACCAAAACGCUCGCUGCAGAAAAACUCCAUGUCCUAUUUGAAAAAAGUCUGGACCAUGAGUGAGGGCACAAACACAGCUAAGAUAUAUCCAAAUGGCAAGUUGCUCCUCCUUUCGCUUUUGCCGAGAGAGCAGUGCGUUUGAGCCAUUGAAUGAUGAACAGGAAAAACUUGACUUUAUUCUCCUGCCAUGGGGGGAGCUCUUUUAAAGAGAAAAAACUCCUUCACAAAUGUGUUGAUGGCUGGACAUUGCAUCAUCCUAGAAAACAUGGAGGCCAGUGAGGACAAAAAUAAAAAGUUAUAAGACUUUUAAAUAUGUGGAUUUUAGGGUUAUAUUUGGCGCCCCCUAGAACCUAAACCGUGGGGUGCAGCGUCAUGAUUUGAAUAACUUUUAAUGGCCAUGGGGUGUAGAUUGGCCUGAGCAAAUGUGGUGCCGGUGGAACGAAAGCCUUCGGAGGAAUUAGCGAAAUUCCAAUGUGUGCGAAUCUGCAAAAAAUGCGAAAUAACCCUUUAACCGUACAUUUUACAGAUACGUGGCCAUUGACUUUUUCGAAGAUCUUAUUGAAAUACACGUGUAUGUAAAAUUUUGUGUCAAUACGACAAAACAUACAGGCGUAGCACUCAACAAUGUGUAUUUUCACCUUAGUGGACAAGAAAAAAUUGACUUUUUUCUCCUGCCAUGGGGGAGCGCUCUUUUGCCGAGUAAAAAUUCCUUCACAAAUGUGUUGAUGGCUGGACAUUGCAUCAUCCUAGAAAACUUGGAGGCCAGUGGGGACAAAAAUAAAAAGUUAUAAGACUUUUAAAUAUGUGGAUUUUACGGUUAUCUUUGGCUCCCCCUAGAACCUAAACCGUGGGGUGCAGCGUCAUGAUUUGAAUAACUUUUAAUGGCCAUGGGGUGUAGAUUGGCCUGAGCAAAUGUGGUGCCGGUGGAACGAAAGCCUUCGGAGGAGUUAGCGAAAUUCCAAUGUGUGCGGAUCGGCAAAAAAUGCGGAAUAACCCUUUAACCGUACAUUUGACAGAUACGCGCGCAUUGACUUUUUCGUAGAUCUUAUGGAGAUACAUGUGUGUGUCAAUUUUUGUGUCAUUUUGCCAAAGCGUACAGGUGUUACACUCAACAAUGUGUAUUUUCACCUUAGGGGACAAGAAAAAAUGGACUUUUUUCUCCUGCCAUAAGGGGGCGCUCUUUUGGGGAGUAAAAAUUUCUUCACAAAUGUGUUGAUGGCUGGACAUUGCAUCAUCCUAGAAAACUUGGAGGCCAGUGAGGGCAAAAAUAAAAAGUUAUAAGACUUUUAAAUAUGUGGAUCUUAGGGUUAUCUUUGGCGCCCCCUAGAACCUAAACCGUGGGGUGCAGCGUCAUGAUUUGAAUAACUUUUAAUGGCCAUGGGGUGUAGAUUGGCCUGAGCAAAUGUGGUGCCGGUGGAACGAAAGCCUUCGGAGGAGUUAGCGAAAUUCCAAUGUGUGCGGAUCGGCAAAAAAUGCGAAAUAACCCUUUAACCGUACAUUUGACAGAUACGCCCGCACUGACUUUUUUGUAGAUCUUAUUGAGAUACAUGUGUGUGUCAAUUUUUGUGUCAUUUUGACAAAGCGUACAGGCGUGACAGUGAAUAGUGUGAAUUUUCACCUUAGGGGGCGCUAUGGAGCCAUUUUGCAUUUUCUUGUUUGGGCGACUUCGGAAUAUCAAAUUUUUCACCAGGCCCGGUCGUCCUGCCAAAUUUCAUGAGUUUUCGCCAGUGGGAAGUGGGCCAUUUUCCAGUUCAAAGGGGAGGAAAAAUAAUAAUAAUAAUAAUAACAAAAGAAGGAAACUACAGGAACAAGAGGGCUCUCGCAGCUGCUUAGCAGCUACGCUCGGGCCCUAACUAGGGCCCCGUUGGGGCACUGGCGGGCCCGAGCCGUGUCACGCCGCCCCCAGCGCGACCGCCUCCCCCACCCGAUCGCGUCACACUCAAGGUCCAAAGAUGGUGUGCGCACUUGUUUGUGGUCAUUUACCAUUAUAAUGAACGGGAGGCGCAGUUUCUACCAAAACGCUCGCUGCAGAAAAACUCCAUGUCCUAUUUGAAAAAAGUCUGGACCAUGAGUGAGGGCACAAACACAGCUAAGAUAUAUCCAAAUGGCAAGUUGCUCCUCCUUUCGCUUUUGCCGAGAGAGCAGUGCGUUUGAGCCAUUGAAUGAUGAACAGGAAAAACUUGACUUUAUUCUCCUGCCAUGGGGGGCGCUCUUUUAAAGAGAAAAAACUCCUUCACAAAUGUGUUGAUGGCUGGACAUUGCAUCAUCCUAGAAAACAUGGAGGCCAGUGAGGACAAAAAUAAAAAGUUAUAAGACUUUUAAAUAUGUGGAUUUUAGGGUUAUAUUUGGCGCCCCCUAGAACCUAAACCGUGGGGUGCAGCGUCAUGAUUUGAAUAACUUUUAAUGGCCAUGGGGUGUAGAUUGGCCUGAGCAAAUGUGGUGCCGGUGGAACGAAAGCCUUCGGAGGAAUUAGCGAAAUUCCAAUGUGUGCCAAUCUGCAAAAAAUGCGAAAUAACCCUUUAACCGUACAUUUUACAGAUACGUGGCCAUUGACUUUUUCGAAGAUCUUAUUGAAAUACACGUGUAUGUAAAAUUUUGUGUCAAUACGACAAAACAUACAGGCGUAGCACUCAACAAUGUGUAUUUUCACCUUAGUGGACAAGAAAAAAUUGACUUUCUUCUCCUGCCAUGGGGGGGCGCUCUUUUGGCGAGUAAAAAUUCCUUCACAAAUGUGUUGAUGGCUGGACAUUGCAUCAUCCUAGAAAACUUGGAGGCCAGUGGGGACAAAAAUAAAAAGUUAUAAGACUUUUAAAUAUGUGGAUUUUACGGUUAUCUUUGGCUCCCCCUAGAACCUAAACCGUGGGGUGCAGCGUCAUGAUUUGAAUAACUUUUAAUGGCCAUGGGGUGUAGAUUGGCCUGAGCAAAUGUGGUGCCGGUGGAACGAAAGCCUUCGGAGGAGUUAGCGAAAUUCCAAUGUGUGCGGAUCGGCAAAAAAUGCGGAAUAACCCUUUAACCGUACAUUUGACAGAUACGCGCGCAUUGACUUUUUCGUAGAUCUUAUUGAGAUACAUGUGUGUGUCAAUUUUUGUGUCAUUUUGCCAAAGCGUACAGGUGUUACACUCAACAAUGUGUAUUUUCACCUUAGGGGACAAGAAAAAAUGGACUUUUUUCUCCUGCCAUGGGGGGGCGCUCUUUUGGGGAGUAAAAAUUCCUUCACAAAUGUGUUGAUGGCUGGACAUUGCAUCAUCCUAGAAAACUUGGAGGCCAGUGAGGGCAAAAAUAAAAAGUUAUAAGACUUUUAAAUAUGUGGAUCUUAGGGUUAUCUUUGGCGCCCCCUAGAACCUAAACCGUGGGGUGCAGCGUCAUGAUUUGAAUAACUUUUAAUGGCCAUGGGGUGUAGAUUGGCCUGAGCAAAUGUGGUGCCGGUGGAACGAAAGCCUUCGGAGGAGUUAGCGAAAUUCCAAUGUGUGCGGAUCGGCAAAAAAUGCGAAAUAACCCUUUAACCGUACAUUUGACAGAUACGCCCGCACUGACUUUUUUGUAGAUCUUAUUGAGAUACAUGUGUGUGUCAAUUUUUGUGUCAUUUUGACAAAGCGUACAGGCGUGACAGUGAAUAGUGUGAAUUUUCACCUUAGGGGGCGCUAUGGAGCCAUUUUGCAUUUUCUUGUUUGGGCGACUUCGGAAUAUCAAAUUUUUCACCAGGCCCGGUCGUCCUGCCAAAUUUCAUGAGUUUUCGCCAGUGGGAAGUGGGCCAUUUUCCAGUUCAAAGGGGAGGAAAAAUAAUAACUAGGACCCCGUUGGGGCACUGGCGGGCCCGAGCCGUGUCGCGUCUCCCCCCCCCCACCCCCCCACCCCCCAACGUGCUGCCUCCCCGUCCCAUUUGUGUCCUCUGGCCAUCGCCCUCUCUGUUAACGCCCAUCACUGCAAAGACCCUUUUCCUUCAUCGGCGUUUGCUGUUCUUCCUGCCAGUGCGUGUUGCUUUCACUUACACUUGCCACAGCCAGCCUCGUGAGUGCCUAGCCUAUUGGAUAUCACUGUCACCUACACAGGACAGUCAUUACCUUUCUAUUAAUACUUUGUGUUUUAAUUUCACAUUAAUUUCCAUAUUGUAUAAACGACUGGAAAAAACUUGAGCCCCUGCCCCUGUAUAAUCAUGUGCAUGUCUCUGUUCUAGCUCCAAGGUGAAUCUUCACUGCUCAUGUUCUCCUCAGAAGCACUCACCUCACUCCCCUCAGGUUACUGUACACAUGCACCAACUGCCUGCUUCAGGUUUGGAUGGAGCUUCAUGGUUGUCUUUUGGAGAAAUGACCAGUCAAGUUGUGUUUGAAAUUUGAUUUUUUUCAGGGGCAAAAGGAGCCUCUGCAUUCUUGUCAAAUAUGUAAAUAGCAUGUUUUUGCAGGUGCUAAAAACCAGACUCUGAGUGUGUGUGUGUGUGUGUGUGUGUGUGUGUGUGUGUGUGUGUGUGUGUGUGUGUGUGUGUGCGUGUGUGUGUGUCUAUGUGUGCGUUCAAGUCACAUGACAUAUUUAACCGGAUGUAGCUGCAAGACGGAGCCUCGUUGACUCUCCGUUUCAACUUAUCUCAAAAGUGAGGACCUCAACCUAUAUACCAGUUUUUAAAUUGUGUUGAUAGGCCAAAUAAAACCAGAGUUAUGAUAAAUUAUGUCCGCGAUACUUUUUUUCUGCUUAUUUUGAUCACGUUCGGCGCUCGAUCGCGCUGUAUGAGACAGGAAAACAUAGCAUGCAGACAUUAGCGACAGGUCUUACAGGCGGAAAAGGCUUGCCAAAAGAAAAAAAAAACACACCACAACAUCUCUCCUAUUGGUGGAAAACUUCACCACAACAACCAAUCCAAAAUUAUAUGGUGACUGAUUGACAAGGGGCGGGCGCUUACGUUCUUCCUGCAACAUGAGAAGGGAGGGAGGGACUCUCAGCAGGGAUGCAGUCUGGGACACGUAGUUGCAAACCUAGCGACUUUGUUGUUAGAUUCAAUGACUUUUCAGACACCCUAACGACUUUUUUUAGAAAGAAAGGGACUUUUAUCGACUUCUUCUGGAGUUUAGAGACUCUGACAUGAAGCAGGCUUUCCUUACUGAGGAGUUAGCAACGCUGCUAAGGGUGCAGAGCCACACAUGCGCUCUGAGCUCUGCAUGGGAGACUGAAGCUGACAGAGCUGCAGCAGUUAGCAGGUUUCACCCUCAGAGACCACCAGGGGUUCAUGUUGAGGCAUUUUAAUUUUUUUUUUUUUUUGUGCCAUAGACACUGUCAGCACAAUCUGCAGUUACACUAACAAAAAUGCUGCAAAAAACAAAUAAUUAUGGAAAAAUUACACAUGGACUGACAUAGAGGAGGAUCUACACAAGUUUUUUACAUCAUGUUUUACAUCAUGCAUCAUUUACAUCAUGUUUUUUUGUAGUGGCAUAAAUAAAAAGUGACAUUUGUGAGACUAUACAGUGUUUUGUAAAUAAUUUUACAAAGAACGCCUGGGCCAUUGCCUGCAUUUUGAUGUAAAUAGAGGUAAAUUACUAUGUUCUUUGUUAAAAAUUUGCAUAUGUUUUGAAGUUUACAAUUUUUAUUUGAAGUUUAAGUUUUAAAAACAGUUCAUCACACAUAUUUGUGGUUUAAUUUCACAUUAAUUUCCAUAUUGUAUAAAUGACUGGAAAAAUCUUGAGCCCCUGCCCCUGUAUAAUCAUGUGCACGUCCCUGUUCUAGCUCCAAGGUGAAUCUUCACUGCUCAUGUUCUCCUCAGAAAUAGUCACCUCACUCCCCUCAGGUUACUGUACACAUGCACCAACUAUCUGCUUCAGGUUUGAAAUGGAGCUUCAUGGUUGUCUUUUGGAGAAAUGAACAGUCAAGUUGUGUUUGAAAUUUGAUUUUUUUCAGGGGCAAAAGGAAGCCUCUGCAUUCUUGUCAAAUAUGUAAACAGCAUGUUUUUGCAGGUGCUAAAAAACAGACUCUGAGUGUGUGUGUGUGUCUGUGUGUGUGUGUGUGUGUGUGUGUGUGUGUGUGUGUAUGUUGGCGUGUGUGUAUAUGUGUGUGUAUCCUGCAGUACUCUGUACUCCUGCAGUGGCCAAAAAGACUUUUAAGAAUGUGGAUUUUUGGGUCAUCUUUGGCGCCCCCUAGAACUGCAGUACUCUGUACUCCUGCAGUGGCCAAAAUGACUUUUAAGAAUGUGGAUUUUUGGGUCAUCUUUGGCGCCCCCUAGAACGUAAACCGUGGGGUGCAGCGUCAUGAUUUUUACAACUUUGAAUGGGCAUGGGGUGUAGAUUGCCCUGAGCAAAUUUGGUAUCGGUGGGACGAAAGCCUUAGGAGGAGAUAGCCACAUUCCAAUGUGUGCGAAUCGGCAAAAAAUGCAAAAUAGCCCUUUAACCGUACAUUAUACAGAUACGCGCUCUUUGACUUUUUCGUAGAUCUAAUUGAGAUACACAUGAUUGUCAAUUUUUGUGUCAAUAUGACAAAGCGUUCAGGCGUGACACUCAACAAUGUGUAUUUUUAUGUAAGGGGACAAGAAAAAAUUGACUUUUUUCUCCUACCAUGGGGGGCGCUCUUUUGGGGAGUAAAAAUUCCUUCACAAAUGUGUUGAUGGCUGGACAUUGCAUCAUCCUAGAAAACUUGGAGGCCAGUGAGGACAAAAAUAAAAAGUUAUAAAACAUUUAAGAAUGUGGAUUUUUGGGUUAUCUUUGGCGCCCCCUAGAACCUAAACCGUGGGGUGCAGCAUCAUGAUUUGAAUAACUUUUAAUGGCCAUGGGGUGUAGAUUGGCCUGAGCAAAUGUGGUGCCGGUGGAACGAAAGCCUUCGGAGGAGUUAGCGAAAUUCCAAUGUGUGCGUAUCGGCAAAAAAUGCGGAAUAACCCUUUAACUGUACAUUUGACAGAUACGCGCGCAUGGACUUUUUAGUAGAUCUUAUUGAGUUACAUGUGUGUGUCAAUUUUUGUGUCAUUUUGACAAAGCGUAUAGGCGUGACACUCAACAAUGUGUAUUUUCACCUUAGGGGACAAGAAAAAAUGGACUUUUUUCUCCUGCCAUGGGGGGGCGCUCUUUUGGGGAGUAAAAAUUCCUUCACAAAUGUGUUGAUGGCUGGACAUUGCAUCAUCCUAGAAAACUUGGAGGCCAGUGAGGACAAAAAUAAAAAGUUAUAAGACUUUUAAAUAUGUGGAUUUUAGUGUUAUCUUUGGCGCCCCCUAGAACCUAAACCUUGGGGUGCAGCGUCAUGAUUUUGAUAACUUUUAAUGGCCACGGGGUGUAGAUUGGCCUGAGCAAAUGUGGUGCUGGUGGAACGAAAGCCUUCGGAGGAGUUAGCGAAAUUCCAAUGUGUGCGGAUCGGCAAAAAAUGCGAAAUAACCCUUUAACCGUAAUUUUGACAGAUACGGCCGCACUGACUUUUUUGUAGAUCUUAUUGAGAUACAUAUGUGUGUCAAUUUUUGUGUCAAUAUGACAAAGCGUACAGGCGUGACAGUCAAUAGUGUGAAUUUCCACCUUAGGGGGCGCUAUGGAGCCAUUUUGCAUUUUAAUGUUUGGGCGACUUCAGAAUAUCAAAUUUUUCACCAGGCCCGGUCGUCCUGCCAAAUUUCAUGAGUUUUCGCCAGUGGGAAGUGGGCCAUUUUCCAGUUCAAAGGGGAGGAAAAAGAAGAAAGAAAGAAAGAAAGAAAGAAACAAAGAAAAACCACUUGGGGAAUAAUAGGGCCUACGCCCGGCUGCUCUGCAGCUGGCUCGGGCCCUAAUAAUAAUAACUAGGACCCCGUUGGGGCACUGGCGGGCCCGAGCCGUGUCGCGUCCCCCCCCCAACGUGCUGCCUCCCCGUCCCAUUUGUGUCCUCUGGCCAUCGCCCUCUCUGGUAACGCCCAUCACUGCAAAGACCCUUUUCCUUCAUCGGCGUUUGCUGUUCUUCUUGCCAGUGCGUGUUGCUUUCACUUACACUUGCCACAGCCAGCCUCGUGAGUGCCUAGCCUAUUGGAUAUCACUGUCACCUACACAGGACAGUCAUAACCUUUCUAUUAAUACUUUGUGUUUUAAUUUCACAUUAAUUUCCAUAUUGUAUAAACGACUGGAAAAAACUUGAGCCCCUGCCCCUGUAUAAUCAUGUGCAUGUCUCUGUUCUAGCUCCAAGGUGAAUCUUCACUGCUCAUGUUCUCCUCAGAAGCACUCACCUCACUCCCCUCAGGUUACUGUACACAUGCACCAACUGCCUGCUUCAGGUUUGGAUGGAGCUUCAUGGUUGUCUUUUGGAGAAUUGAGCAGUCAAGUUGUGUUUGAAAUUUGAUUUUUUUCAGGGGCAAAAGGAGCCUCUGCAUUCUUGUCAAAUAUGUAAAUAGCAUGUUUUUGCAGGUGCUAAAAACCAGACUCUGAGUGUGUGUGUGUGUGUGUGUGUGUGUGCGUGUGUGUGUGUGCGUUCAAGUCACAUGACAUAUUUAACCGGAUGUAGCUGCAAGACGGAGCCUCGUUGACUCUCCGUUUCAACUUAUCUCAAAAGUGAGGACCUCAACCUAUAUACCAGUUUUUAAAUUGUGUUGAUAGGCCAAAUAAAACCAGAGUUAUGAUAAAUUAUGUCCGCGAUACUUUUUUUCUGCUUAUUUUGAUCACGUUCGGCGCUCGAUCGCGCUGUAUGAGACAGGAAAACAUAGCAUGCAGACAUUAGCGACAGGUCUUACAGGCGGAAAAGGCUUGCCAAAAGAAAAAAAAAACACACCACAACAUCUCUCCUAUUGGUGGAAAACUUCACCACAACAACCAAUCCAAAAUUAUAUGGUGACUGAUUGACAAGGGGCGGGUGCUUACGUUCUUCCUGCAACAUGAGAAGCGAGGGAGGGACUCUCAGCAGGGAUGCAGUCUGGGACACGUAGUUGCAAACCUAGCGACUUUGUUGUUAGAUUCAAUGACUUUUCAGACCCCCUAACGACUUUUUUUUUAGAAAGAAAGGGACUUUUAUCGACUUCUUCUGGAGUUUAGAGACUCUGACAUGAAGCAGGCUUUCCUUACUGAGGAGUUAGCAACGCUGCUAAGGGUGCAGAGCCACACAUGCGCUCAGAGCUCUGCAUGGGAGACUGAAGCUGACAGAGCUGCAGCAGUUAGCAGGUUUCACCCUCAGAGACCACCAGGGGUUCAUGUUGAGGCAUUUUAAUUUUUUUUUUUUUUGUGCCAUAGACACUGUCAGCACAAUCUGCAGUUACACUAACAAAAAUGCUGCAAAAAACAAAGAAUUAUGGAAAAAUUACACAUGGACUGACAUAGAGGAGGAUCUACACAAGUUUUUUACAUCAUGUUUUACAUCAUGCAUCAUUUACAUCAUGUUUUUUUGUAGUGGCAUAAAUAAAAAGUGACAUUUGUGAGACUAUACAGUGUUUUGUAAAUAAUUUUACAAAGAACGCCUGGGCCAUUGCCUGCAUUUUGAUGUAAAUAGAGGUAAAUCACUAUGUUUUUUGUUAAAAAUUUGCAUAUGUUUUGAAGUUUACAAUUUUUAUUUGAAGUUUAAGUUUUAAAAACAGUUCAUCACACAUAUUUGUGGUUUUCACAGUAAAAAUGUUACUUUUUUCCACUCGGAUUUUAUGUUUUGUGUGUGAAUUUGGGUCCAUUGUGUAAAUUCAGUAUGUCAACAUGAUAAAAUAACUGUAAAUUCGCACAGGUGAGGUUGUGCUGAAAAAAAUGAUACCAGGCAAGGCACGUGAUUGUCAAAUUUUGUGUCAAUAUGACAAAGCGUAUAGGCGUGAAUCUCAACAAUAUGUAUUUUCACCUUAGGGGACAAGAAAAAAUGGACUUUUUUCUCCUGCCAUGGGGGGGCGCUCUUUUGGGGAGUAAAAAUUCCUUCACAAAUGUGUUGAUGGCUGGACAUUGCAUCAUCCUAGAAAACUUGGAGGCCAGUGAGGACAAAAAUAAAAAGUUAUAAAACUUUUAAAUAUGUGGAUUUUAGGGUUAUCUUUGGCGCCCCCUAGAACCUAAACCGUGGGGUGCAGCGUCAUGAUUUGAAUAACUUUUAAUGGCCAUGGGGUGUAGAUUGGCCUGAGCAAAUGUGGUGCCGGUGGAACGAAAGCCUUCGGAGGAGUUAGCGAAAUUCCAAUGUGUGCGUAUCUGCAAAAAAUGCGGAAUAACCCUUUAACUGUACAUUUGACAGAUACGCGCGCAUGGACUUUUUUGUAGAUCUUAUUGAGUUACAUGUGUGUGUCAAUUUUUGUGUCAUUUUGACAAAGCGUAUAGGCGUGACACUCAACAAUGUGUAUUUUCACCUUAGGGGACAAGAAAAAAUGGACUUUUUUCUCCUGCCAUGGGGGGGCGCUCUUUUGGGGAGUAAAAAUUCCUACACAAAUGUGUUGAUGGCUGGACAUUGCAUCAUCCUAGAAAACUUGGAGGCCAGUGAGGACAAAAAUAAAAAGUUAUAAGACUUUUAAAUAUGUGGAUUUUAGUGUUAUCUUUGGCGCCCCCUAGAACCUAAACCUUGGGGUGCAGCGUCAUGAUUUUGAUAACUUUUAAUGGCCACAGGGUGUAGAUUGGCCUGAGCAAAUGUGGUGCCGGUGGAACGAAAGCCUUCGGAGGAGUUAGCGCGAAAUUCCAAUGUGUGCGGAUCGGCAAAAAAUGCGAAAUAACCCUUUAACCGUAAUUUUGACAGAUACGGCCGCACUGACUUUUUUGUAGAUCUUAUUGAGAUACAUAUGUGUGUCAAUUUUUGUGUCAAUAUGACAAAGCGUACAGGCGUGACAGUCAAUAGUGUGAAUUUCCACCUUAGGGGGCGCUAUGGAGCCAUUUUGCAUUUUAUUGUUUGGGCGACUUCAGAAUAUCGAAUUUUUCACCAGGCCCGGUCGUCCUGCCAAAUUUCAUGAGUUUUCGCCAGUGGGAAGUGGGCCAUUUUCCAGUUCAAAGGGGAGGAAAAAGAAGAAAGAAAGAAAGAACUAGGGCCCCGGUGGGGCACUGUCGGGCCCGAGCCGCGUCGCGCCGCCCCCAGCGCGACCGCCUCCCCCUCCCGAUCGCGUCACACUAAAGGUCCAAAGAUGGUGUGCGCACUUGUCUGUGGUCAUUUCCCAUUAUAAUGAAUGGGAGGCGCAGUUUCUACCAAAACACUCGCUGCAGACAAACUUCAUGUCCUAUUUGAAAAAAGUCUGGACCAUGAGUGAGGGCACAAACACAGCUAUGAUAUAUCGAAAUGGCAGAUUGCUCCUCCUUACGGUGUUGCCUGGAGAGCGAUGCGAUUGAGCCAUUGAGCGAUGGGCAGGAAAAACUUGACUUUUUCUCCUGCCAUAGGGGGGGGAUGUGGAUUCUUUUAAGAAUGUGGAUUUUUGGGUCAUCUUUGGCGCCCCCUAGAACGUAAACCGUGGGGUGCAGCGUCAUGAUUUUUACAACUUUGAAUGGCCAUGGGGUGUAGAUUGGCCUGAGCAAAUUUGGUGUCAGUGGGACGAAAGCCUUAGGAGGAGUUAGCCACAUUCCAAUGUGUGCGAAUCGGCAAAAAAUGCAAAAUAGCCCUUUAACCGUACAUUUGACAGAUACGGGCGCAUUGACUUUUUUGUAGAUCUUAUUGAGAUACAUAUGUGUGUCAAUUUUUGUGUCAAUAUGAUAAAGCGUACAGGCGUGACAGUCAAUAGUGUGAAUUUCCACCUUAGGGGACAAGAAAAAAUUGACUUUUUUCUCCUGCCAUGGGGGGGCGCUCUUUUGGGGAGUGAAAAUUCCUUCACAAAUGUGUUGAUGGCUGGACAUUGCAUCAUCCUAGAAAACUUGGAGGCCAGUGAGGACAAAAAUAAAAAGUUAUAAGACUUUUAAAUAUGUGGAUUUUAGGGUUAUCUUUGGCGCCCCCUAGAACCUAAACCGUGGGGUGCAGCGUCAUGAUUUGAAUAACUUUUAAUGGCCAUGAGGUGUAGAUUGGCCUGAGCAAAUGUGGUGCCGGUGGAACGAAAGCCUUCGGAGGAGUUAGCGAAAUUCCAAUGUGUGCGGAUCGGCAAAAAAUGCGGAAUAACCCUUUAACCGUACAUUUGACAGAUACGCGCGCAUUGACUUUUUCGUAGAUUUUAUUGAGAUACAUGUGUGUGUCAAUUUUUGUGUCAUUUUGCCAAAGCGUACAGGUGUUACACUCAACAAUGUGUAUUUUCACCUUAGGGAACAAGAAAAAAUGGACUUUUUUCUCCUGCCAUGGGGGGGGGCGCUCUUUUGGGGAGUAAAAAUUCCUUCACAAAUGUGUUGAUGGCUGGACAUUGCAUCAUCCUAGAAAACUUGGAGGCCAGUGAGGGCAAAAUUAAAAAGUUAUAAGACUUUUAAAUAUGUGGAUCUUAGGGUUAUCUUUGGCGCCCCCUAGAACCUAAACCGUG